ACUAUUUUGGCAAAAAAAUGUAAUGAUUUUAGAAUUCAUAAAUAUAUAAUUUAAUUAUAUAGAUAGUA
rnacentral:tRNA from 1 species